rnacentral:rRNA from 1 species
GACGAAGGAUGCAAGCGUUAUCCGGAUUCAUUGGGUUUAAAGGGCGCGUAGGUGGACUGAUAAGUCAGUGGUGAAAUCUCUGGGCUUAACCCAGAAAUUGCCAUUGAUACUGUUGGUCUUGAGUACAGUUGCUGUGGGCGGAAUAUGACAUGUAGUGGUGAAAUACAUAGAUAUGUCAUAGAACACCGAUUGCGAAGGCAGCUGACGAAACUGUAACUGACACUGAGGCUCGAAAGUGUGGGGAUCAAACAGG